CAGUCGAGCGGAUGACAGGAGCUUGCUCCUGGAUUCAGCGGCGGACGGGUGAGUAAUGCCUAGGAAUCUGCCUGGUAGUGGGGGACAACGUUUCGAAAGGAACGCUAAUACCGCAUACGUCCUACGGGAGAAAGCAGGGGACCUUCGGGCCUUGCGCUAUCAGAUGAGCCUAGGUCGGAUUAGCUUGUUGGUGAGGUAAUGGCUCACCAAGGCGACGAUCCGUAACUGGUCUGAGAGGAUGAUCAGUCACACUGGAACUGAGACACGGUCCAGACUCCUACGGGAGGCAGCAGUGGGGAAUAUUGGACAAUGGGCGAAAGCCUGAUCCAGCCAUGCCGCGUGUGUGAAGAAGGUCUUCGGAUUGUAAAGCACUUUAAGUUGGGAGGAAGGGUUGUAGAUUAAUACUCUGCAAUUUUGACGUUACCGACAGAAUAAGCACCGGCUAACUCUGUGCCAGCAGCCGCGGUAAUACAGAGGGUGCAAGCGUUAAUCGGAAUUAC
rnacentral:rRNA from 1 species